CAACGGGGAGGGGCGGAAGGCGCCACCCCGCGGAGGAGGCCCCAGUGCCACAGCCCAGGGCCCCCGAGAGCUCUGGGAGCCCGGGGCAAAUGCUAGAAAUUUGCUUAGAACGUCCGGGUCCCACGGAAGGCGCCCUUGCCGCCCUCUCUCGGGUCGUAGCUCCCUGACGCUGGGGCGCAACCCCUUCGCUCCUCCUCCCCGCUGGCCGCGGCCGGGCUUCCCCAGCUCUUGCUGCUUCGGGCCUGUGACUUCUGCAACCCCGGGCUGGGGGCCGCGGGGUCUCAGGGCCGGUGACGCCGCACUGGGAGCCGCCCCAAAGAGGUUACUCACCUCCCUCGUCCCGCACAUUAUUCUGACCCAAGAGCCUCCACCCCACACGGGAUUUUGCGCGUCGUCCACGCCCGGCCGGCGGCCUUUGCUGCUCCCAGCCCUGCGCGGCUUUGGUCCCAGCCUCGGUGGCCCCUGUGCCAAACCGGGGACAGGCGGAAGGGAGUCUCCUAGGGACCCUAAGUAGCCUGGGGCCAACAACCCCUUUCCUCUCUGCUCUCCCCUCAAAACAAGUUUCAGGAUCUUGCAGGCCUCGCGGCGUCGUUCUUCGUUGUGGCGGCCUGUGGCUCUUUGAAAAACACGACGAGGCCUGCAAAAUGCGUUUUUCUUUUUUUCCUUUACGCAUGUAACCACGGUCCUGCAUCGUGAAACGGUACGCGCGUCGGUGGCAAAAGAAAAACAGCAGUGGCUGCAAAGCUAAGGGCCCUCGCUUUCAGAGGAGAGAAUUUUCUUUCUCCAUGCGGGUGGAAAGUGGCCUCUGCGGGUCCAACCCCACUUCUUCUUGGGCCCGUGCGCUCCGGCUGCGCCGCAGGGACCGCGGACAGCUUCGCCAAGGCACUGCCUGCCCGCCCGGCUCCGGGUCCCCGCUCCCACUCCCAGCCGCGUGGCCCAACCUCUCCUGGGCUUCACUGCAAAUCACCCCUUCCUCUCCCGCCUCCUAAGUCUGUCGAGCAGACCUAGGGGCCGGCUACAGUUGGGAGGGCAACGGGAAAGAUCAAGCCACAAUCAUUCCGAAUUAUCGCCCCAGACACCUCCCUAGACUCUGGGGAACGAACGCGUGCUGAGCCUCCCCGCCGCUUUGGAGACGGGGCUAGAUUUUCGUUGCCUCCGGCUCUCGACAGGUGCAAAACAAUGAAUUCCAAGCCUCGGAAGCAAAGAAGCUUAGGAUCCGACGGUGGCCGCAAGAUCUCAUCAUGGAUCUGACCCCUGCUCAGCGCGCGCCAUUUCGUCGUUGCCAAACGAAAUCAAGCCCCGCGUGCGCUCCAGGGGCGAAGGACUCUGGACUCACCCCGACCACCGGGAGAGCUGGCCCCUACCCACCUCGGGACCUCACAGCACGCCCUCAGGCCGUGUCGAAAGGAAGGACGGCAAAGGUCCCUUACUGAACCUUUUAAGAGAGCCUGCGCCUGGCAGUUGUCGAUUGCGGACCCAGGCCCGCGCGCCCUCGGACGCGCUGGCACGAGCAGCAGAACUAGAGGAAAGCGAGUGAUCCAGCCUGGGCGCUCCCACCUCCGGGAACGUCUCCGAGAAGGCGCAGCGCGUCGUGGCCAGUGAGAAGGGCUGAAUAUCACCUGUGAGCCUGCCCCUGCUCCCAAGAACACCCUUUGGACACCUGUGGGCUCUGCAAGGUUGGUGUAACCCCUACAGAUGAGGAAACCAGAGACAGAGAAGUGAAGUAACUCAUGCAGGUGACGGCAGAGGGCAGAGUCAGGACUUGAACCUGGAGAGCCUGGCUCUAAAGCCCAAGCUGGAAUCUCGAUACUCUACACCUCGAUAAGUUUUUGGGAAAUGACUGACUAAACAGAUGAACGCGUUUGCCCCCCCGCCGCCCCAGAGCCCCCUUAAAGCCUACAUGUGGCAGUUUGGGCCCAUUUCCUUGGCUUCCCUCCCUGGAGGGGCACCCACUGCCAGUGUCCCUGCUGAAAUUUAGCAUCAUAUUCCAUGGCGAUUUUCCACCAGUGGAAAUCACAGGUGUUCUCUGGUAUCACAGCGGGGUCAGGGAUGACCUGAAAUAUUGUUCAUGCUCAUCACAACUGCAUGGCCCACCGCGGGGUCUUGUCACUCAGUGAGUUCUUGAAGAGGCACAGACAAAUGGAGUUCAACAAAUGGAAAACAACUGCCUUUAAUUAGCUCCGAGGACUACAAAGGGAACAACGUUAUAAUAGCAGCAACUCCAAGGAAGCAGCCACAGCUCUCAGCUCUCAGACCUGGGGCUGCCGCUCAUCAUCAGCUACAGCUAGGUUUGAUGGGAGUGCCCCCAUUUCAGGGGACAGCAGGCCCCCUUCACUCCCCGACUCAGUCCCCAUCUGCAGCAGCACAGCCUUCCUUGGCCUCACCAGGGAAGAAGAACAGGCCCCGCUCUCAGACAAGCCUUCCCAGAAGCCUGAGGACUCAAACACCCAAAUGUGUCUGGGUCCCUGCCCCGAGCCGGCCACCCAGGCAGCAGCCCUGAAUCACUCGGUCAGCCAGCGGCAGGGCAGGCCAAUGGGCUGGAGGGUAGGCAGGCAGGCAGACCCACCUCUGCAUCUCUGCUGACUGCCUCGGCUGAGGAAAGGCAGCACCAGCCCCCAACCCUGAAGUUCUAGAUCUCAUGCAGCCUCUCUGUUCUGGAACCAUCCAGAGGCACUGCCCUUAUACAUGGUCCACCCCCAGGCUCAGACAAUGAGAAUUCCACAAGCAGAGGGGACUCUAUUUGGGGCACAGAGAGGUUAAGUAACUCCCCUCCUAAGGUCUCUCAGCAAGGAAGCCACUGAGCCGUGGGACUUGAGCUCAGGGACUCUUGAUCCCCAGUCUCAGGUGUCACAGCCCCAUCUGGGCUCCUGCUAGGGAGGAGGAAGGCAGCAGGGGGUGUCUGAGGCCAGGGUGCAUCAGCCCUAAAUGCCAGACAGAGGCAGGAGAAGUCUCCCCAUGAGUCCCAGCCCCAUUAGAGGCUCCAGGUCGGGGAUCCCAGACCCCCUAUCCUUGCUGGGAGACACAACCCAGAACUCUGCAUCCCUGCAGCCACCAAAAAAGGCAAAAGCUGCCCAGAAACACUUUCUCCUCUUCCGUGGCCAAAUCCACGAACUUUCUCGAGGUCUGUCCCCCUGCCCCGUGCAGGUCCAGCUUCAGUGCAGCCCAGCUCUGUGCAGUUUUCCACAAAAGCCUGUGGCUUCCUUCUCCUCCCUCUGCUUCUGAUACCCCAGGAGUUACACACAAAAUGUUGGCGGUGGUCUCCAGGAAGACCCCUGCAUCCCACAGCUCUCCCCAGAAGUUGCCAGCAGUGACCUCCUGAGCCCAGGUGGGGAGUCCCAGGCAGGACAGGGGCUGGGGCUGCAGGCCCUGGGGCCCUGUUAGUGAAGCAGCAAGCCGAGGGUCCCUGAGAGUUUCCCUUGGCCCCUCUGAGGGCUGCCCUUUGAGGUCUUGAGGUCUUGGAGUAUCCAUCGCCCCCACGGCUUACUGUCCCCACCAGCGGAGGAUGAAAGUGCCACAGCGAUGUUCCACGCCAAGAGACCACAGAGACCACCAACCCCUCUUCCCACCUCAGGCUUUCAGAGGCCAGCGGAUUUAGGCGGACAGGCUGUGCGCUUGAGGGCAGCCAGGGCGGUCAGUGGAGGGACGUGGUCCGGGGCCUGGCCACAGCUCCCCACCCAGGGCCCUGGGCUAUUGUUACUCACCGCGGAUGAAGGUCGGCGAGUAGGUCGGGAAGGAGUCGAAGAUGCUGUUCGAUGCCAUGCCCCGCUCUGAAGAAGGCCAGGCUGCGAGGCCCAGGGUGGUGACGC
rnacentral:lncRNA from 1 species